GAUGAAGAACGUAGCGAAACGCGAUAAGUAAUGUGAAUUGCAGAAUUUAGUGAAUCAUCGAACUUUUGAACGCACAUUGCGCCCGCCAGUAUUCUGGCGGGCAUGCCUGUUCGAGCGUCAUUUCAACCCUCAAGCCCCCGGGCUUGGUGUUGGGGAUCGGCGUGCCCUCGCGGCGCGCCGUCCCCUAAAUCUAGUGGCGGUCUCGCUGUAGCUUCCUCUGCGUAGUAGCAACACUCGCACUGGAUCGCAGCGCGGCCACGCCGUUAAACCCCCCACUUCUGAAAGUUUGACCUCGGAUCAGGUAGGAAUACCCGCUGAACUUAAGCAUAUCAAUAAGCGGAGGA
rnacentral:misc_RNA from 1 species